GUGCUAUAUGCCUUUGUUUACUAAAAGCUAACAUUUUUGCAUUUAUGUUAAAGGCUGUACUAAACCCACAGCUUUUAGGUUUUUCCCUAAAAGAAGAUUACAGCUAACUUUUGAACUCACAAGUAGUUUUAAAGUACAAUAUUUCUCUUCUCCACAUUUCCAUGCCUUCAUGUCAAUGCUUAGUUGUUUUUUCUGCCGAACACUAUAGAUAAUCUCCUGUUUAAAAUGUGGGCAGAAGGGUGUUUCAUGGCAAUAGAGCUAAGUUUUUUCUCUUAAUAGUGAAAUAGCAACCCAAAUGUCCCUAUUGCUAAGUAGAGGUAGAGUCCCAUGUAGCCCAUGCUUCACACAAACAGAAGUAAAUGCACUGUUUUUUAAGAAGCUAAAUUAAAAAAAAAUAGAAUAGAUACUUCCAGGAUGGGGUUACCUCCUCAGAUAUUCAUAGUAUGAAAUGGAAGGGCUUGAUGUGUUUCACACUGGCUUGUUUGAUAUGCAUAUAUGUUACUAUAAAUGUAAAUCCAGCAGUGUUGCAUUGUAAAAACCUCGUAUUUCAGCUCACUGGGAGUUGAGGGGGGGAUUUGAACUACCCUAUGGUGCAUUCCUUGAGUGUUCAAGGGGAAUAUUAUACUUUUCCUUCCCCGGGUUUAAAAAAAAAAACCUUUGGGAAAUCCAAGGAAGACCAUCCCCCCUCCCCCCAAGUAUUAUGAUGUCUAGUCAAUUCUAAGAAUACACCGGAUAUGUUCUGUGGACAUUUGGGAUUGCAGUUCCUGUUAUUUGAUUAACCCUCAAUCAAAUAGAUCAUUCUGAAGGAAAGCUUUGGUUAUCACUGUUAUACCACUGAGAUAAAGUGUUUGCAAAGUAUUGUUCAAAUUAAUUUAUGAUAUGACCAAGAGCUUUUCUCUUCCAAAAGAUGGAUUUUAUUGUAAAUAGUUUCUCAAAAUAUUUUUAACUGGAUCAUGAGCAUGGGGAGAGAAAGUUUCUCAGCUGCUAAGAAUUUCCCCACUGUUUACUUCUUUCACUUACAGUGGUAUUGCAUAUAAGAUUACAGAAUUUUAGGUUUUAUUUGUAUCUGUUACCUGAACCAUCCUAUUGUCUUUACUUAUCACUGUCUUGGAGGUCCAUUGUGUAAAGGACUGGCAGGGGAAAAGUCCCUCUGGUCGUUCAGCGGUCUAACCCAGGACUGAGACAUCCCAUCUAGUAGUGUGUGAGGUCAAGUCUUUGUGCUCUUCCAGACCAAACAUUGAAAUGGACUCAUUCAUAUAAGUUUCUAUAAAUCUUGUAAGUGAAAAGAUAGCCAACUGUCAGCAGUUGCUUUUAAAAAGGUCACUAUAAGUACUAUAUAGUACAGUAUUAAUUUAUAGCAGGAAGUCAUAUCUUAUAAACUGUAUAUAAAACACUGUUUCAUGGUGCAAUCGUUUGUCAAACUUUUGUCUGGUACGUUGUUUUUAGAGUGUGCAUUCUUCUCAUACCUAAGACUAUCACUGUAAAAUCUGCUGAAAACUAUUUGUAGGUUUUAUUUGCACAAGACUGAAUUAGUUUGAAAUUUUUGGAAGCUCCUUUUUAACAUGCCUAAACAUCUGUAAACAGAAAAAUCUUCAAUUCAUUAAAAGCAAACAUUUCAGGAUGAUUCUUUCCAAAGGUAAUCCAUGUUCUAUGUUGUUAAUGUGUGUAUGUAGUUUUUCUAACUCUUCCACUUCUUACAGACUACCUUGUUUCACUGGUUUUGUUUUUGAAGGUUGUCUUUUUUUUCUUUUUCUUUUUAAUGUUCUAGAUGACCAAAACACUUCAUUGGUUUUUUACCCUUUUGCCUAAAGCUUUGAUAUCUCCACUUGAUGUUCUAUGAAUUCACUGUUUAAUCUCUUAAGUGAAAUAAAUAGUCCUGGUGACAAUCUCUUGACUUAGAGAAAAAGCCGAGAAAAAGUAUUGAAAACUAACUUUGGAUAUAUUCUUAGCUAUUAUUUUGCAUUGUGGUCUUCAUAGGAAGAACAUGUUGCAUUUAUUUUGUCUUUGUUAAAAGACUGCUGGCCACAAGUUACUCUGAUUGUAGUAACUUUUAUCAACCUACUUUGAUCUUUUAAAAAUUAAAUUUACAUUCACAAUUCUACUGUCAUUCAGAAAAAUUUUGAAGGAUAAAAAUAUAUGAAGGAAAAAAGUGGCCUGUGUAGGGAGAACUUCCUACACGGAACUUUUAGUUGUAUCUUCUCAAGAAAUUUUAAAGUUUGUGAUCAAGGUCUGUAUAUUAUCCUAACUUUAUUAAGAAUUGUUUCCUAAUUGGUUAUAACACUUUUCAAUUAAUAAUUUCAAAACAAAUUGUUAAUACAGCUGUAUAAAAUGAACAUAAUUUUCUUCACUUGUAUUUUUGUUAUUGAGCAAGUUUAUCA
ensembl:lncRNA